rnacentral:rRNA from 1 species
AUUGAACGCUGGCGGCAGGCCUAACACAUGCAAGUCGAACGAGAGGCGGACGGGUGAGUAAGGUCUGGGCAAGUGCCUGACGGAGGGGGAUAACGACUGGAACCGGUAGCUACUACCGCUUACCUUCGGAUGUGCCGAGAUGGGAUUAGCUAGUGGGUGGGGUAACGGCCCACAAAGGCGACGAGCCCUAGCUGGUCUGAGAGGAUGACCAGCCACACUGGAACUGAGACACGGUCCAGACUCCUACGGGAGGCAGCAGUGGGGAAUAUUGCACAAUGGGCGAAAGCCUGAUGCAGCAAUGCCGAGUGUGUGAAGAAGGUCUUCGGAUUGUAAAGUACUUUUAGCGGGGAGGCGUUACCCACAGAAAAAGCACCGGCUAACUCCGUGCCAGCAGCCGCGGUAAUUC